rnacentral:rRNA from 1 species
UUCCCAGACUCCUACGGGAGGCAGCAGUGAGGAAUAUUGGUCAAUGGUCGGGAGACUGAACCAGCCAAGCCGCGUGAGGGAUGAAGGUACAGAGUAUCGUAAACCUCUUUUGUCAGGGAACAAAGGCGGGGACGUGUCCCCGGAUGAGUGUACCUGAAGAAAAAGCAUCGGCUAACUCCGUGCCAGCAGCCGCGGUAAUACGGAGGAUGCGAGCGUUAUCCGGAUUUAUUGGGUUUAAAGGGUGCGUAGGCGGAUUUUUAAGUCAGCGGUAAAAUGUCCGGGCUCAACCCGGGCCGGCCGUUGAAACUGGGGAUCUUGAGUGGGCGAGAAGUAUGCGGAAUGCGUGGUGUAGCGGUGAAAUGCAUAGAUAUCACGCAGAACUCCGAUUGCGAAGGCAGCAUACCGGCGCCCGACUGACGCUGAGGCACGAAAGCGUGGGGAUCGAACAGGAUUAGAUACCCCAGUA